rnacentral:snoRNA from 1 species
GGUGAUCUUUUUUUCCUUCUGGCAUUGAGAGAGUUGCCUGAAGGUAACAAGCUCACCAAGAUUAAAAUGGAGGUUGCCAAGGACUUGUUUAAAAGAUGCUAUCAAGUCUGACCGAGAACUCCAACAUCU